rnacentral:rRNA from 1 species
GUGAGGAAUUUUCCGCAAUGGGCGAAAGCCUGACGGAGCAAUGCCGCGUGAAGGAUGAAGGCCUAUGGGUUGUAAACUUCUUUUCUUAGAGAAGAAUAAUGACGGUAUCUGAGGAAUAAGCAUCGGCUAACUCUGUGCCAGCAGCCGCGGUAAGACAGAGGAUGCAAGCGUUAUCCGGAAUGAUUGGGCGUAAAGCGUCUGUAGGUGGCUUCAAAAGUCUCCUGUCAAAGAUCAGGGCUUAACCCUGGGCCGGCAGGAGAAACUCUGAGGCUAGAGUUUGGUAGGGGCAGAGGGAAUUCCCGGUGGAGCGGUGAAAUGCGUAGAGAUCGGGAGGAACACCAAAGGCGAAAGCACUCUGCUGGGCCACAACUGACACUGAGAGACGAAAGCGAGGGGAGCAAAAGGGAUUAGAAACCCUGGUAGUCC